GAACAAAACAAAGCUUUACAAUGAGAACCAUUUUUGCUCUCUGCUUGAUUAUCGCCAUCAUCGCAAUGGCAAUGGGUGGCGUUCACCAUUACAAAGUUACUCAUGCUCCUGAAUAU